UCAUUCCAGCUGUUUAUUAUUCCAUUGUUAAAUGUAGAGUUUACAAACAUAGGAACAUUAUUCCAGAAGGUACAAACAUAGGAUUAUUCCAGAAGGUCCUGUUCAACAGAGAAUAAACUCAAACGAUCAGUCUCUUCACACGUGAAAUUAUCGAUAUUGAGGUGCCAGCUCCCCCGCCUUCACUAUGUAAUUUUGAACAGGAAAAUCUUCUCCCUUGAAGUAUCUGUCAAGCAUAUCCUUGAC
rnacentral:lncRNA from 1 species